GGAGGGUGCAAACGUUGCUCGGAAUCAUUGGGCGUAAAGCGCACGUAGGCGGUUUGUUAAGUCGGGUGUGAAAGCCCUGGGCUCAACCCAGGAAGUGCACUCGAAACUGGCAGGCUUGAAUAUGGAAGAGGGUCGCGGAAUUCCCGGUGUAGAGGUGAAAUUCGUAGAUAUCGGGAGGAACACCAGUGGCGAAGGCGGCGACCUGGGCCAAUAUUGACGCUGAGGUGCGAAAGCGUGGGGAGCAAGCAGGAUUAGAUACCCUGGUAGUCCACGCCGUAAACGAUGGAUGCUAGAUGUUGCGGGUAUUGACCCCUGCAGCGUCGCAGCUAACGCAUUAAGCAUCCCGCCUGGGGAGUACGGCCGCAAGACUA
rnacentral:rRNA from 1 species